UCACUAAAUAUAGAACUUGGAAUUCUUCAAAAUAAAUCUAUUUAAUAUCACACCAAGUCUUGUUGUUUUUUAUUUAAUAUCACAUAAAGUCUAUGUAAUGCAACUUUUAGCAUAACUCCAGUGGAAGAACAGUUCAUCAGUACAUAUUCUUCCAAGAAGGACAUAUGCAAAGUAAUACGAUUCCUUUCUUGAAAGCUACUAAAUGUUUCUUAUUAAUAAUACUCAUCGUACGUAAAAGAAGAAUACACUCUCCAUAUCAUCAUCCAAAAUCCGAAAUUAUGUAUACAAUUAAGUUCAUUCAACAGUAAGUAAGAACGCGAAAACCACCAUACCAUGAAUUGUAGUGCACAAUCGAAACUUUGCCCAUAGCUGGAAAUCAGAAAGCAUGUGCAGCCACCAACCCACGUGUUGGCCCCAACCAGCUGAAGCGCAUGCAGACCACCAUAGAUGCUGACAAUCCAGAUCAGAUCAGAAAUCAUCACCGACACAACUUCCGGCCAAACGUCAACAACCUAACAUUCUAAAAGAGGAAGCACGCUACCACUAACUAACAACUCAAAUCUGAUUUAUGGAUUACAUGACCAAUAAGCAUACAUAAUACUGUUGGCGUGAGCUGUAGAUUAGAAGACAAAUGAGAGGGAUUAUAGUGGAGGUGUAAAUAUGAUUCCUUCUAUUAAGGGUCAAGGAUCUCAACCAUGAUCCUAGCUUUGAGUUGUGUAAAUGUCCAAAAAUAGAGUCAAAUAUCUCUGUUUAUACCUGUAAUAUUUCUAAAAAAAAUAUAUAGAAAAAUAUGUUCUUUUU
rnacentral:lncRNA from 1 species